UCGGAUGUGGUGUAGGGUUACACGACCUCUGGAAUUGGUGGCAAACCGCUUGAAAGUUUGGGAGGUAAUCCCGGGUUCGACUCCUGGCGUUCGAG